rnacentral:rRNA from 1 species
AUUGAACGCUGGCGGCAGGCCUAACACAUGCAAGUCGAGCGGAUGAAGGGAGCUUGCUCCUGGAUUCAGCGGCGGACGGGUGAGUAAUGCCUAGGAAUCUGCCUGGUAGUGGGGGAUAACGUCCGGAAACGGGCGCUAAUACCGCAUACGUCCUGAGGGAGAAAGUGGGGGAUCUUCGGACCUCACGCUAUCAGAUGAGCCUAGGUCGGAUUAGCUAGUUGGUGGGGUAAAGGCCUGCCAAGGCGACGAUCCGUAACUGGUCUGAGAGGAUGAUCAGUCACACUGGAACUGAGACACGGUCCAGACUCCUACGGGAGGCAGCAGUGGGGAAUAUUGGACAAAGGGCGAAAGCCUGAUCCAGCCAUGCCGCGUGUGUGAAGAAGGUCUUCGGAUUGUAAAGCACUUUAAGUUGGGAGGAAGGGCAGUAAGUUAAUACCUUGCUGUUUUGACGUUACCAACAGAAUAAGCACCGGCUAACUUCGUG